UACGGAGGGUGCAAGCGUUAAUCGGAAUUACUGGGCGUAAAGCGCACGUAGGCGGCUCUUUAAGUCGGAGGUGAAAUCCUGGAGCUCAACUCCAGAACUGCCUUCGAUACUGAAGAGCUCGAGUCCGGGAGAGGUGAGUGGAACUGCGAGUGUAGAGGUGAAAUUCGUAGAUAUUCGCAAGAACACCAGUGGCGAAGGCGGCUCACUGGCCCGGUACUGACGCUGAGGUGCGAAAGCGUGGGGAGCAAACAGG
rnacentral:rRNA from 1 species